AUACGUAGGGGGCGAGCGUUGUCCGGAAUGAUUGGGCGUAAAGGGCGCGUAGGCGGCCCGGUAAGUCUGGAGUGAAAGUCCUGUUUUUAAGAUGGGAAUUGCUUUGGAUACUGUCGGGCUUGAGUGCAGGAGAGGUAAGUGGAAUUCCCAGUGUAGCGGUGAAAUGCGUAGAGAUUGGGAGGAACACCAGUGGCGAAGGCGACUUACUGGACUGUAACUGACGCUGAGGCGCGAAAGUGUGGGGAGCAAACAGGAUUAGAUACCCUGGCAGUCCACACUGUAAACGAUGAAUGCUAGGUGUAGGGGGUAUCGACCCCUUCUGUGCCGCAGUCAACACAAUAAGCAUUCCGCCUGGGGAGUACGGCCGCAAGGUUGAAACUCAAAUGAAUUGACGGGG
rnacentral:rRNA from 1 species